rnacentral:RNase_P_RNA from 1 species
CUCGGAUGGCCGGUGGUCGCCUCCACGGAUGUGGGGGAGGAAAGUCCGGGCUCCAAAGGGCAGGGUGCCGGGUAAUACCCGGGGUGGGGUUUAGGCCCCACACGGCAGGGCCACAGAAACAAGACCGCCCCGCCUCACAGGCGGGGUAAGGGUGAAAGGGUGGGGUAAGAGCCCACCGGCUCCGCAGUAAUGCGGGGUGAGGGGGUGAAAGCCCCCCGGCCGCCUCGCCCAUCGGCGGGGUGGCUCUGGCGACCGCCCCCCGGAGCAAGGCCGAGCAGACCCGAAUCCGGCGCCUCGGUGCCGGAGGGGUGUGGCCCGCACCCCUUGAGGGUCGGGUAGGCCGCGCCGGACUCCGUCGGGCAACCGGCGGAGCCAGAUAGAUGACCACCCAGUACAGAACCCGGCUUAUGGCCAUCCGAGGGUU